CCUACGGGUGGCUGCAGUGAGGAAUAUUGGUCAAUGGACGAGAGUCUGAACCAGCCAAGUAGCGUGAAGGAUGACUGCCCUAUGGGUUGUAAACUUCUUUUAUAAAGGAAUAAAACGAGGCACGUGUGCCUGUUUGCAUGUACUUUAUGAAUAAGGAUCGGCUAACUCCGUGCCAGCAGCCGCGGUAAUACGGAGGAUCCGAGCGUUAUCCGGAUAUAUUGGGUUUAAAGGGAGCGUAGAUGGGUUGUUAAGUCAGUUGUGAAAGUCUGCGGCUCAACCGUAAGAUUGCAAUUGAUACUGGCAGUCUUGAGUUGGGGUGAGGUAUGCGGAAUGCGUGGUGUAGCGGUGAAAUGCUUAGAUAUCACGAAGAACUCCGAUUGCGAAGGCAGCAUAC
rnacentral:rRNA from 1 species